CAAUUGCUUAUAACCUUUUGGUUAUAAAUAGUUGUUAGUGGCAGACGGGUGAGUAAUGCGUAGGAAUCUACCUAGUAGUAUGGAAUAGCCAUUAGAAAUGAUGGGUAAUACUGUAUAAUCCCUGCGGGGGAAAGAUUUAUCGCUAUUAGAUGAGCCUACGUUAGAUUAGCUAGUUGGUAAGGUAAUGGCUUACCAAGGCUAUGAUCUAUAGCUGGUCUGAGAGGACGAUCAGCCACACUGGAACUGAGAUACGGUCCAGACUCCUACGGGAGGCAGCAGUGGGGAAUAUUGGACAAUGGGCGAAAGCCUGAUCCAGCUAUGCCGCGUGAGUGAAGAAGGCCUUCGGGUUGUAAAACUCUUUCAAUAGGGAAGAUAAUGACGGUACCUAUAGAAAAAGUCCCGGCAAACUG
rnacentral:rRNA from 1 species